rnacentral:rRNA from 1 species
UGCCAGACUCCUACGGGAGGCAGCAGUGAGGAAUAUUGGUCAAUGGCCGAGAGGCUGAACCAGCCAAGUCGCGUGAGGGAAGACGGCCCUACGGGUUGUAAACCUCUUUUGUCGGGGAGCAAAGCGAACCACGUGUGGUUCAUUGAGAGUACCCGAAGAAAAAGCAUCGGCUAACUCCGUGCCAGCAGCCGCGGUAAUACGGAGGAUGCGAGCGUUAUCCGGAUUUAUUGGGUUUAAAGGGUGCGCAGGCGGAGGUGCAAGUCAGUGGUCAAAUUGCGGGGCUCAACCCCGUACUGCCGUUGAAACUGCAUCCCCUGAGUGCGCGAGAAGUAUGCGGAAUGCGUGGUGUAGCGGUGAAAUGCAUAGAUAUCACGCAGAACUCCGAUUGCGAAGGCAGCAUACCGGCGCGCAACUGACGCUCAUGCACGAAAGCGUGGGUAUCGAACAGGAUUAGAUACCCUAGUA